rnacentral:rRNA from 1 species
UACGUAGGGGCAAGCGUUGUCCGGAUUUAUUGGGCGUAAAGAGCGUGUAGGCGGCCAAGCAGGUCCGCUGUGAAACUCGAGGCUCAACCUCGAGACGUCGGCGGAAACCAUCUGGCUAGAGUCCGGAAGAGGAGAGUGGAAUUCCUGGUGUAGCGGUGAAAUGCGCAGAUAUCAGGAAGAACACCCGUGGCGAAGGCGGCUCUCUGGGACGGUACUGACGCUGAGACGCGAAAGCGUGGGGAGCGAACAGG